CCUACGGGAGGCAGCAGUGGGGAAUAUUGCACAAUGGGGGAAACCCUGAUGCAGCGACGCCGCGUGAAGGAAGAAGUAUUUCGGUAUGUAAACUUCUAUCAGUAGGGAAGAAAGCGCCGGUACCUGACUAAGAAGCCAAGGCUAACUACGUGCAAGCAGCCGCGGUAAUACGUAGGGGGCAGGGGUUAUCCGGAUUUACUGGGUGUAAAGGGAGCGUAGGCGGCGGUGCAAGUCAGAAGUGAAAUCCCGGGGCUCAACUCCGGGACUGCUUUUGAAACUGUAUGGCUAGAUUGCAGGAGAGGCAAGUGGAAUGCCUAGUGUAGCGGUGAAAUGCGUAGAUAUUAGGAGGAACACCAGUGGCGAAGGCGGCUUGCUGGACUGUAAAUGACGCUGAGGCUCGAAAGCGUGGGGAGCAAACAGGAUUAGAUACCCCUGUAGUC
rnacentral:rRNA from 1 species